UAGCAAUGCCUAGGCUGCAUGCCGGUCCAGGAAGUGAAAAAUCAAAGAACAGUAGAAUAUCUAGGCACCACUGGCAGUGUGUGUGCUACCAUCAAGCAAAUCAAAGAGAGCUACAGCCAUCAGUGUAAGAAUAUGAUGUGAUAAAAGCUUUUGGGUCCUCCUACAAGUUCUCAUCUAGCCAGGCAUUCCACAUCAAGGCUAUCCUCCAACUCACAGUCUCUAUAGUGACAUUGGAAGGAAUAAUAGUUUCACCAUGCUGUUCAGUUGUACACGGUAAGGAGAAGACCUCUUCUAGGUUUUUAAAAUAUAUAUACAGUAGUUUUGAAGAGCUAAUAGUGCUUGCUUAAUGGGCACUGAUGAUCAGUUGAUAUCUCUAGAAUGCAGGCCACAUCAUAGUUGAUAUCUCUAGAAUGCAGGGCACAUCAUUCUCUGUGUGUGUAUUUAAUCUAGUCUGAGAAACAAACAGUCUGCGUUUUUGAGUUGGCUGACAAGAAACAGGAGGAGGGGGGCUAAAC